rnacentral:snoRNA from 2 species
UACUCUCAGGGCUGCACCUGGAGAGUUUCCAGUACUCUACCAGUCUCGACAAUGGGAAGGAGAGUCAAGCAGAGGCAUAUCCAUUCCAUUCCUAGCUUAGGCAGUGGCUAGUGAGUGGAAGACAAUCUGCUGCAAGU